rnacentral:rRNA from 1 species
AGAGUUUGUUCUGGCUCAGAUUGAACGCCGGCGGCAGGCCUAACACAUGCAAGUCGAACGGUAACAGAAAGCAGCUUGCUGCUUUGCUGACGAGUGGCGGACGGGUGAGUAAUGUCUGGGAAACUGCCUGAUGGAGGGGGAUAACUACUGGAAACGGUAGCUAAUACCGCAUAACGUCGCAAGACCAAAGAGGGGGACCUUCGGGCCUCUUGCCAUCGGAUGUGCCCAGAUGGGAUUAGCUUGUUGGUGGGGUAACGGCUCACCAAGGCGACGAUCCCUAGCUGGUCUGAGAGGAUGACCAGCCACACUGGAACUGAGACACGGUCCAGACUCCUACGGGAGGCAGCAGUGGGGAAUAUUGCACAAUGGGCGCAAGCCUGAUGCAGCCAUGCCGCGUGUAUGAAGAAGGCCUUCGGGUUGUAAAGUACUUUCAGCGGGGAGGAAGGGAGUAAAGUUAAUACCUUUGCUCAUUGACGUUACCCGCAGAAGAAGCACCGGCUAACUCCGUGCCAGCAGCCGCGGUAAUACGGAGGGUGCAAGCGUUAAUCGGAAUUACUGGGCGUAAAGCGCACGCAGGCGGUUUGUUAAGUCAGAUGUGAAAUCCCCGGGCUCAACCUGGGAACUGCAUCUGAUACUGGCAAGCUUGAGUCUCGUAGAGGGGGGUAGAAUUCCAGGUGUAGCGGUGAAAUGCGUAGAGAUCUGGAGGAAUACCGGUGGCGAAGGCGGCCCCCUGGACGAAGACUGACGCUCAGGUGCGAAAGCGUGGGGAGCAAACAGGAUUAGAUACCCUGGUAGUCCACGCCGUAAACGAUGUCGACUUGGAGGUUGUGCCCUUGAGGCGUGGCUUCCGGAGCUAACGCGUUAAGUCGACCGCCUGGGGAGUACGGCCGCAAGGUUAAAACUCAAAUGAAUUGACGGGGGCCCGCACAAGCGGUGGAGCAUGUGGUUUAAUUCGAUGCAACGCGAAGAACCUUACCUGGUCUUGACAUCCACGGAAGUUUUCAGAGAUGAGAAUGUGCCUUCGGGAACCGUGAGACAGGUGCUGCAUGGCUGUCGUCAGCUCGUGUUGUGAAAUGUUGGGUUAAGUCCCGCAACGAGCGCAACCCUUAUCCUUUGUUGCCAGCGGUCCGGCCGGGAACUCAAAGGAGACUGCCAGUGAUAAACUGGAGGAAGGUGGGGAUGACGUCAAGUCAUCAUGGCCCUUACGACCAGGGCUACACACGUGCUACAAUGGCGCAUACAAAGAGAAGCGACCUCGCGAGAGCAAGCGGACCUCAUAAAGUGCGUCGUAGUCCGGAUUGGAGUCUGCAACUCGACUCCAUGAAGUCGGAAUCGCUAGUAAUCGUGGAUCAGAAUGCCACGGUGAAUACGUUCCCGGGCCUUGUACACACCGCCCGUCACACCAUGGGAGUGGGUUGCAAAAGAAGUAGGUAGCUUAACCUUCGGGAGGGCGCUUACCACUUUGUGAUUCAUGACUGGGGUGAAGUC